rnacentral:sRNA from 1 species
AACACUUUUAUACAAACCUUCUGAACGCAUAAUCAACCUCCAGUUUCUGGUUUUUCUUUCUCAGAAAACCCUUCAUAGGAUGGCUAGGUCAUAUUGGCGUACUCGAGUGAACUACGGGCAUUUUUUGGCUUCGCGACCGUUGUGCUCACUUCGUGUGCCCACGUAUAUGGUCGACUUGGAGUCACCUGCUGCCCUAACAUACUUUUCAACUCUGUAGCUGUGUUGCAGUACUCCGGCUGGGCUCGCACACUUAAACUUUUGUCUGGAGCACGUUGCUAUACGCUUGACAUGAAAUCAAUGGCCCAAUGGCCCAAUGGACA